AUUUGCUAAUGAAUAAUUCAGGGGUCUUUGGUGCUGUAGAGUGUAACAGGAGAACUAGCCUUUGACGCCUUCAGGUUUUCACUGCACAGUGCACGAGUUGAUGUAUGCUGCUACCUACUUGUGACAGGAAUAAAACAGGGUGGCAGUUAGGCAUGGAGUCAUUGCCAAUAAUGAUGUUUGCCUUACAGAGCCAGUGUCCCUGGUGUGAUUUCAAGCAAGGGUUGCUGUUUCCUCAGGAUUUUCAGAUUUUUCUUCAUCUUCCCUAAACAUGGAGGCUUGUAGUUUUGCUAUGCUUAAUUGCCCGUAAGGUGUAAAUGAAUGUGAAAUAUGGUGUAUUUGUGAGCCCCCUAUCCAUGGUGUAUUCUUGUUUAGCUUUCAGAAAAAAAAAGGCUCUGGAUCCACCAUGAUCUUCAUGAUGAUCAAACAUUUCCUGAAUAUGAAUUAUUCGCUUGGUAAAACAAUGACUGAUGCUUACUGUACAUCCCACAAGUGUGUAUUUACACUAAGCCACUUAAAAUUUGUGCAAUUUCAAUUCUUCAUAAAGAGACCAGCUGUGGGAUUUAAACUCAAAACCUUCCUGUCAAUAAUACAGAACCCUGACUAACUACAUGUGUGUAAUGAUCUAAAUUUUCUUUCAGAAUGAUGUGAAGAAAAGCCUAAUUAUUACAAGUUAGGCAAUGCAAAUUGCAAAUGCCUAUGAAAGUCCCAGUAUUUGGCAAGCUACCAUGCUUGAAACCAAUCUAAUCAGAUUAAGAAGUUUCUGCAAAUUAGCAAGACACAUGCAGCCACAGGACUCCUAUGAUCUUCAUAUUAAAUAUUGACAUGACUCUCUGUCUAGCCAGCAAACAUCAUUAUUGACCCAUAGAGCUGGAAUGGUCAUUUUUAUAUUUAUAUAAAUUAAAGUACAUUUUGAACCCCAGGGAAGUGUCAGAGUAACAUAUUUUGCUUGCUACUUACACCACACGGAUCUCGAUUAUCUCGUUUAUCAAAAUGAACUAGUCUGUUUUUUGUCAUUUGCUUCAUUUCAUUCCUUUACAAAAAAUAAAUAAAUAAAUUUUUAAAUCUUCUCAAUAAGCAGAUCCCCCUACACAUCUACAU